GUGAAGAAGGGGCCGGCCUUCAAGCAAGAGCGACGCAAGAUGGCAGCCACCACGGGCUCGGGAGACUUAAUCCAGUAUAGCUGAAUAAUCCAGUUGGCUGCUGUGCAGAUGAAAAUGCCAGUGUUUUCCAAACAAGCAGUUCAAGAGUAAAAGUCCCUCGCAAUUUCCGACUGUUGGAAGAACUCGAAGAAGGCCAGAAAGGAGUAGGAGAUGGCACAGUUAGCUGGGGUCUAGAAGAUGACGAAGACAUGACACUUACAAGAUGGACAGGGAUGAUAAUUGGGCCUCCAAGAACAAUUUAUGAAAACCGAAUAUACAGCCUUAAAAUAGAAUGUGGACCUAAAUACCCAGAAGCACCCCCCUUUGUAAGAUUUGUAACAAAAAUUAAUAUGAAUGGAGUAAAUAGUUCUAAUGGAGUGGU
rnacentral:lncRNA from 1 species